rnacentral:rRNA from 1 species
UACGGAGGGAGCUAGCGUUGUUCGGAAUUAUUGGGCGUAAAGAGCUCGUAGGCGGUUUGUCACGUCUGCUGUGAAAACUGGAGGCUCAACCUCCAGCUUGCAGUGGGUACGGGCAGACUAGAGUGCGGUAGGGGAGAUUGGAAUUCCUGGUGUAGCGGUGGAAUGCGCAGAUAUCAGGAGGAACACCGAUGGCGAAGGCAGAUCCCUGGGCCGUAACUGACGCUGAGGAGCGAAAGCGUGGGGAGCGAACAGG